UGCCAUUAUCUUUUGUGCAUACAUAUAUGUAUUUCUCUUAUUCCUUUAUAUCUUAAUUAAUUCUAGAAAGAAAACAUAUCUAUAAGCAGCAUUAUUUUGUUAUGAUAAUUUACUCAGUGGUAUGACAUUAGGUGCAUAGGUACCGAGGUUUGAUUCCAUUGCACUGGGCUGUUUAGGUUUUUUUGCCUUCUAACACAAGAUUAAAGUAACUUUAGAAAGGAUGUUAAACAUAAUAAAAAAAAAAAAAAAGGUUCCAAUCAUAUAAAGUUUUAUUUUAUAUUUAUUCUGAAUUGAUGUUGUAUGAAAUUACUAAUUAGGAUUAUCAAUUUUUAUUUAAAAAUAGAUUAGUCAUAUACAGAGUGAUCAGUAAAUCAUAAACUCAAUUAUAUUCAAAAUACAAUACUGGAAAAAAGAAAUUUUGGUUUCUUUUAGUUCUUGAUUUAUCAAUUACUAGUUACUUUUUAAAGUUAUUCCUUAUAACUUAAAGGGUUGUUAACUUUAUUUUUUUAAAUGUAACAUAUAUAUUUGGCUAGCUUAUGAAAUAGAAAAUUAUCUAAUUAAGAAAAUAACUGGUCGAUAACAACUUUUGGAACAGUACUUUGGAAGUUAUUCUCAUUUUUAAACUAAACAAAGAAUACGACAGGGAAAUGAUUAGUGAUAGAAAUGGCAUCACCCACGACUUACCUCCAGUUUUAACUUUAAAUUGUUAACAACUUCUAUAAAAGUGGUCCAAAAAUACUUAUCGACCAGUCAUUUUCUUAAUUAAAUAAUUUCUUAUUUUAUAAGUAUGUUGCCAAUUAAAAAUAUAAAGUUGACACCCCAAUAAGUUAGAAAUAGUUCUAAAAAGUAAUUAAUUUAGUUAAAUCAAGAAAUAUAUUCAACUAAAUGAAAUCAAACAUUUUUUUUUAUCAUUAUUAUUAUAUUUACUUUGUGAGUAAAGAAGUGGUUUAUGAUAAACCAAUCACACUUAUUAUCAUUUUUAUUUUAAGUAGUAGUUGGAUAGAUGGAUAAAAUAUAUUCUAUAGCAGUCUUCAUUGUAGAAGAUUUUUUUUUGUUGUUUAAUAUUUGGCCACAAAUUAUAUUAUAGUAUGUUUGAUGCUAAUUCAAAGGCUAUAUUUUCAUAUUAUGAAAAUUUAGCCUAUGAAAUUAAACACUAGAAUUACUCGAGUUAUGCUAAAGUAGUUUGAUUCCCUCUAAAUCUCACUUAAUUCUACAGUUUUUUCUAAUAUUUCAAUUUUUAAAAAACUUAAAAAUGUAAAACAUUGAGUGUUAAAUUCUUUUUAAACUGUUGAUAAUAAUAAACUUAUUCCUCAUAGACAUAUAGAAAGAUGUAGGCAAUGGUGAAUUUCCAGUGCAACAGGAUUCUAAAAGGUGUAUACAAUCUUUGCGUUUUUUGAAUAUCUAGUUGUACUGAGCAACAUGGGCUUUCAUAUGACUGCUUCUUUAGAUUUAGCAGGAAUGUCAAUAGUUUUAGAUGACAAUCUUAAUAUUCAUUAUAGAUGAGAGUUGUUUUAUUGUUAACUAUUUGAUAUCUGAGAUACUAAUAUAAAUAUAAGGUUUAAUAACCAUUUGUUGUGAUACUGUUGAUACCAAAAAUAAAAUGAUCUAUCAUCUUUAAUGUUAUGUUUAAGUGUUAAAUUAAAGUUAAUGAAUUGUUUAUGACUAAUAAAGUAAUAUAUUUAGACA